AUUAUCAUUGGUAAUAGCUAUACCACAGCCCCCCACUAAUUGACUAGAUUUGGCUAAUUACCCUGGAAUAUUUUCUUUAUUCGUAUACUACA